UACGUAGGGUGCGAGCGUUAAUCGGAAUUACUGGGCGUAAAGCGUGCGCAGGCGGCGCGUUAAGACAGGUGUGAAAGCCCCGAGCUUAACUUGGGAAUUGCGCUUGUGACUGGCGUGCUGGAGUGUGGCAGAGGGAGGUGGAAUUCCACGUGUAGCAGUGAAAUGCGUAGAGAUGUGGAGGAACACCGAUGGCGAAGGCAGCCCCCUGGGAUAACACUGACGCUCAUGCACGAAAGCGUGGGGAGCAAACAGG
rnacentral:rRNA from 1 species